rnacentral:rRNA from 1 species
GAUUAAGUUAUUAAGGGCGCACGGUGGAUGCCUUGGCACUAGAAGCCGAUGAAGGACGUUACUAACGACGAUAUGCUUUGGGGAGCUGUAAGUAAGCUUUGAUCCAGAGAUUUCCGAAUGGGGAAACCCAGCAUGAGUUAUGUCAUGUUAUCGAUAUGUGAAUACAUAGCAUAUCAGAAGGCACACCCGGAGAACUGAAACAUCUUAGU